UGUUGACCUGGGAGGAAUCCUCAGUGUGGGAUGGGAUCUUCUGUCAAAUGCCUUUAAUGCCAUUUUAUCCUUGGGCCCCAGAGAUACUGAAAGUGUUGGGACAGCAUCUUCUGAUGGCCUGUGCAUGAAGGGAGGAGUGGGGAGAGGUUAGGAUUGAGAGGUGCAAAAGUUGGGGAAGUGAGUAUCUUUUAAAAUAAGGUUUUUUUUUUUUUUGGUUUUAAUAUCCUACUCCUAGUGCAGAGCUAGGAGUACCCAUGACUCCAAAGAGAGUUCAUUUAAUUUCUAAACACACACAAGGACCCACUGUUUACUCCAUUUCAUCACAAUCUUGAGUCUGGCCAACUGCUGCCCCAAUUCUCUGGGGACAUAAAUGCAGGCUGGAGAGGGACCAGGAAGUUUGAAAUAGUGACAGAUUGUCCCCUAGUCCAAAGGGCCCAGGGAUAGUGAACUUGGGGAGUUCGUCGUGGAGCUGGGAAACUUGAAAUACUUAGGGCAGGGCACGACCUAGUCCCUGUGGUUUGUCUGGACAAACCGCACCACU
rnacentral:lncRNA from 1 species